UACGUAGGGUGCGAGCGUUGUCCGGAAUUAUUGGGCGUAAAGAGCUUGUAGGCGGUUUGUCGAGUCUGCUGUGAAAGCCCGGGGCUUAACUCCGGGUCUGCAGUGGGUACGGGCAGACUAGAGUAUGGUAGGGGAGACUGGAAUUCCUGGUGUAGCGGUGGAAUGCGCAGAUAUCAGGAGGAAAACCGAUGGCGAAGGCAGGUCUCUGGGCCCUAACUGACGCUGAGACGCGAAAGCAUGGGUAGCGAACAGG
rnacentral:rRNA from 1 species